GUCAGCGUCUCCCUGCCGGCGGGAGUCGCGUCUGUUAAUCUGGCCGAUCGCAGUCUUGAGGGAGCCUAACCUUCAGCCUGAUCUUCCUACUUCCGGACAUUUUGGGGGCUCAUCCAGCAUGGCCAGGGAGUCAGCCCUCGGAGGAAGGGAGACUUUGCCCCAGCUCCCUUGUCCCCCCUGCAGCCCUGCCAGUGGGGAACAUAGAGGGAAAGGAGAGGGAGCUUAAACAAGACCUCCAGCUGCUGGGCCCUAGUUGGCCGUGACUGAGGAAUUUG
rnacentral:lncRNA from 1 species